rfam:Ovis aries breed Texel chromosome 6, whole genome shotgun sequence.
UGGCUCAGAUGGUAAAGCGUCUGCUUGCAGUGCAGGAGACCCGGGUUCAAUCCCUGG